rnacentral:rRNA from 1 species
UACGGGGGGGGUAAGCGUUGUUCGGAAUUACUGGGCGUAAAGGGCUCGUAGGCGGCCAACUAAGUCAUACGUGAAAUCCCUCAGCUUAACUGGGGAACUGCAUCCGAUACUGGCGGGCUUGAAUCCGGGAGAGGGAUGUGGAAUUCCAGGUGUAGCGGUGAAAUGCGUAGAUAUCUGGAGGAACACCGGUGGCGAAGGCGACAUCCUGGACCGGUAUUGACGCUGAGGCGCGAAAGCCAGGGGAGCAAAGCGGG